AAGGCCUGGAAGCCAAAGGCUGCAAUCGAACACUCCGGUACUUCGCCACACCGCGAAAGCACGGCGGCUCCUAUCCCGCGCGGGCAUCGCCAUGCCCGCUAUCCCCCUCGUGAUCCCCAACGCACUAGCUGGCUAGGCGCUCACCGACGUUCCUCUCCAUGGCGGCGUCGGAGCGGGAGGCCGCGCUCCUCACACGCGUGGCAGCGAACCACCUCUUUCUCGCGCAGUUCGAGCCCCUGCGUGCGGUGCUCCUCAGCCUCCGCCGCCGUGACCCGGUGCUAUGUGCGGACUUCCUCCGCGCGGUCGCCGCUGCGGGCGGCCGCGUCCCGGGCGUGCUCUGGUCCGCUCCCCCUGCCUGCCCGUCCCCAUCCCACCUCGCCUGGCUUGCCGUGCUCGAACUCGCCGCCCUCCCCUCCACUCCCAAUCCCGAGGCGCUGCGCCUGAAGGCAGAGUUCCUGGUCCUCCUCCAGCCCAUCGCUGACGACCCCGCCAUUGGCGCCGAGGCCAGAGAAAUCCUCACGAAACUGCUGGAUUUGGGGGUGACGAGGUUGAAGCUCGAGGUCGAAGGCGGAGGGGACGCAGGUGCUAGUGCCGAGGAAGCCUCCGUGAAGGAUCUGAGAGGGCUAUGGGAAGUGUUCCUCGACAACGCCUUUGUGUUUGAUGCGUUGUGCAUAGGCGUCUCGAGGCAGAUCGCCUUGGACAGGGGUUUCGGUGUGGAUGUGCUCCUAUGGCUGCGGCGGAACGUGCAACUUGCCCAUUUGGAUGCCGUGAAGACUCUUGUCACGGAAGGUGAUCUGGAUGCUGCUCCUGGCCAUCUUCGGUUUCUUUGCCUUGACCAUGGACUGGAGAAGGAUGAGUACAAGGUUGUCAUAGCAGAGCUUCUCAGAAAGGGAUGGGCAAAAACAUCCAAUUAUGGUGGAACAUGGUCUGAGUUGCAGAAUAGGAUAACUAAAUUAUAUGGAGCAGCUCUUCAAUCUACUAGUCCCGAGCUCGUGCAACUUGUUCAGCUCAUUCUGGAUAACAUUCUUUCUGAAGAAAUUGAAGAUCAUGAUGUCUCUGAUGCUAAUGGGAUGCCUCUUCCUUUCGAAAAAUUUCUCGAAACAUUGUUGUUGGAGAGGGAUACUGACUCAGAUGACAAGGUCUUGUUGGAUGCGGCUAUAACGUCCUGCAAAAAAGAUCUGUACCAUUAUUGCCGAUUGUCUGGAAAGCACAUGCUUGAAGUAGUCUUGGAAACUGCUCUAUCAUCAAUUAAGAGGGAGCAGCUUCUUGAGGCUGUUGAUGUUGUUUCGUUGUUCCCCCUUCUCCACCCACUGGUUGCUGUCUUGGGAUGGGAUAUUUUGAAGGGUAAAACAGGUCUGCGGAGAAAGCUAAUGCAGCUGUUCUGGACAAGCAAAUCCCAAGGUCUACGACUACAGGAAUAUUCACAUUACCGUAGCCCGACAGAUGAGACAUCCUGUGAAGAGUACUUGUGUGAUCUUCUAUGCUUCCAUCUGGACCUUGCACGUUUUGUUUCAAGUGUUAAUUCUGGCUGUUUGUGGAAUUUGAGGAAUUCAUUGUUGUUUACCCAACAAGAGCAAGGUUCAGAUGUUAACAAUGCAGAAAUAUUAGACCCUUUUGUCGAGAACUUGAUACUUGAGCGGUUAGCUGUUCAGAGUCCCAUGAGAGUGCUAUUUGACGUAGUCCCAGGAAUAAAAUUUCAAGAUGCGAUCGAGCUUGUUGGUAUGCAGCCACUUCCUUCAACAACUGCCGCUUGGAAGAGGAUGCAUGAUAUUGAACUGAUGCACAUGCGAUAUUCUCUUCAGUCAGUUGCGCUUGCUCUAGGAGAGAUGGAAAAGUGUACAGGUGAUGAGAAUGAGUGUUAUUAUCAUAAAGCAUUGUCAUAUCUCAGGGAGAUGCAAAAUUUUAUGGAGGCUAUCAAAAGUUCUCCAAGAAAGAUUUUCAUGGUUAGCAUUAUUUUAUCCUUGUUACACAUGGAUGAUUGUGCCAAAUUGUCUCAAUCUGUCCCUUCUGAGUGCUAUGUUAGUCAUGAAUGCCAUGAUAUAAAUAUCGAAUCUGAGGGAAAGAACGUGGUGGUAUAUUUUGUUGGGCUUUUACUUGAUAUACUUCGUCAUAAUCUCGAAUCAAAAGGCUCUGAUACGGAUCACCUUUCAAGUACUGGUCUGUCGCCUGCUGGUAGACAAGCGUUAGAAUGGAGGCUCAAACAUGCCAAACAUUCUAUUGAAGACCUGGAUUGGCGUCUAUCUGUUCUAAAACGUCUUCCACCUCUGUCUGAGCGGCAAUGGAGUUGGAAGGAGGCAUUAGUUCUUCUACGUGCUGCUCCUUCGAAAUUACUGAAUCUAUGCAUGCAAAGGGAAAACUAUGAUAUAGGAGAAGAAGCUGUGCAACGAUUUUCUUUACCUGCUGAGGAUAAAGCUUCCCUUGAACUAGCUGAAUGGGUAGCUGGUGCAUAUAAAAGAGCACUGGUUGAGGAUGCUGUUAAUCGUGUCACAGAUAAUACAAAUGCAGCACAUGAAUUGGAUAUUUUGUCAUUACGCACGCAGCUUGGUUCUUUAACUACAAUUCUGCUUUGUGUUGAUGUUGCUGCAACAUCUGCUAAGUCAGUUCAUAUGUGCCGAUUUCUUCUCGAUGAGGUGCUUUUGAAUGGCUCGCCUGGUAACCCUAUUUUUCAUCGGAGAGGUCUUCGCCAGGGAGAUCCUCUUUCUCCCAUGUUAUUUGUGAUGGUUAUGGAUGUGCUUAGCAGCUUGUUCCGGGUUGCUGAAAAUAGAGGCUUGUUGCAGGGCCUUGGGGGAGCUGAUGUUCGCAGUCGUGUCUCCAUCUAUGCGGAUGAUGUGGUCCUUUUCAUAAAGCCAAUUGAAGCAGAUCUGAAUUGUGCUAAGAUAAUGCUAAACUGUUUUGGUUCGGCUUCUGGUCUGGUAACCAAUAUGCUCAAGAGCAGUGCUAUUCCAAUUAGAUGUGAUGAUCAGCAGGUGCUUGCUGGUUGCAGUGUGCUGCAUUGCAGUCCCGCUGCGUUUCCUUGCAGGUAUCUGGGGCUGUCCAUUUCUGAUAAAAAAUUGAGGAAAUGUGACCUUAAGUUAUGGAUUGAGAAGAUCGCAGAUCGACUGCCUAACUGGAAGGCUCGGUUGCUCAACCUGGCUGGGCGGACUGCGUUGGUGAAGUUUGUUCUAUCGGCCAUUCCGACUUAUCUUCUUAUUGCAAUCAAUGUCCCUCAGUGGGUUAUUAAAUCAAUUGAUAAAAUUCGGCGAGGAUUUCUUUGGAGAGGAAGAAAGGAGGUUAAUGGUGGUAGUUGUCUUGUUCCAUGGGAAGUUGUCACGAGGCCUCUGAGGCUUGGUGGGCUUGGGAUCCCUAACCUUAAGCUCAAAAGCUGGGCAUUGCAGGCAAAAUGGUUAUGGUUGGAAAAGACGGAUCAGAGCAGACCUUGGCGUGGGUUGUCCCUCCCAGUGCAACGUCAGGCAACAAGCAUGUUAUCUGAAAUAUUUCCAGGAAGGUCCCCCAAAGUAGGACCAACUUACUGGGAUCAGAUCCAAGAACUUGCUACCAUAUCAGUGAUAAAGCGCAUACUUCAGCGUCUGCAUGACAUCUUGGAUCUGGAUACUCUUCCAUCUCUUCAAGUGUUCUUUACUGAGAUGAGCAUCUCUUCGUCAACGGAAUGUAGCAGAGUUGGACAAAAGCAACGUCCUCUUGGGCUUCUGCACCAAAUGAUUGAUGACGCCUUCAAAGGAAAGCGACAGUUCUUGAGUGGUAAGCUUCACAAUGUUGCUAGAGCUAUUGUUGAUGAGGACUUUGAUACUGUUUAUUCGAAAGAAGGUGUCAACUUAGAAAAGAAGGAUAUUUUGAGCUCUGAAAAAGGCAUACUCCUUGGUCACGGGCUUAGAAUUCUAAAACAAGCAUCUAGGAGUGACCUUGCAUCUUCAAAUGUUGUGGAUAGUGGUCCAGAACACAAAGGUUCUGCAAACAGAUAUCUGGGCCCUCUAUCUACCAAGCCGUCAACAUAUUUAUCAAACUUCAUAAUAUAUACUGCAACCAUUGGUGACAUAGUUGAUGGAACUGACACAACUCAUGAUUUCAACUAUUUCUCGUUAGUCUAUGAAUGGCCAAAAGAUCUAUUAACUCGUCUGGUUUUUGAGCGUGGAAGCACUGAUGCAGCAGCAAAGGUUGCUGACACAAUGAGUGUUGAUUUUGUGCAUGAGAUUAUAUCAGCAUGUGUGCCACCUGUUUUACCUCCACGAACAGGACAAGGAUGGGCUUGCAUUCCUGUCAUACCUACCAUUUGUAAUAUUAGUUCAGAAAACAGACUAUGCACCAAGUCUUCUCCUGCUCAAGGAUGGAGUGCACAUGAUUCGUCCUUGUCUUCUCGUCAAGAACCCCUCUAUCCUCUCCAAUUAAAUUUAGUGAAGCAUUUAGCCCAGUUAUCUUCAGUAAGAGCAGUUUUGGCCUGUGUAUUUGGAAGCAGCAUACUAUCUGGGGACAAUGAAUCAUCUUUUACUCAUGUGAAAGAUUCAACACAAGCUCCAGAAACUGAGAGAUCAUUUUUUGAAUUUGCUCUUGAGCAAUCAGAGAGAUAUCCAACCUUGAACCGGUGGAUACAGAUGCAGUCUAAUCUUCAUCGAGUAUCCGAGUCUUCUAUAACAGAUAAAUCCGAAGUCUCUUUGCAUCAAUCCAAGGGAAAGUUUUGUAUGAAGCGAACCCGUGAGUCUGACAGUGAUGGUGAAUCAGAGCUUGAAGAGAAUGUCAUAAGCGGGAACACCAGUUCAAGUUCACUAGAAUCCACUAAACAUGAAGACGCUAGGCUAGAGCCAACAACUUUUAUUUCAUUUGAUUGGGAGAAUGAAGCACCAUAUGAAAAAGCUGUUGAGAGGUUAAUUAGUGAAGGAAAAUUAAGUGAUGCUCUUGCUGUGUCUGAUCGUUGUUUGCGCAAUGGAGCAUCUGAUAAUUUGCUUCAGUUGCUCAUCGAACAGAAGGAAGAAAAAGGUCCAGGCACAGGACAAAUUCAUCCAUAUGGAUCUCACAGUCUUGGGAAUGAUACUUCUCAGUACUGCUUGAGGCUGAGAGACAAAAAAGUUGCAGCUCAGCUCGCUCUAAAGUACUUGCACAGCUGGGACCUUGAUGCUGCAACCAAUGUUCUAACUAUGUGCAUGUGCCACUUACCUGAGAAUGAUCCUAUGCGCAGUGAGGUGUUGCACAUGAAGCAAUCUUUACAGAGGUAUGGCCAUAUCAUGAGUGCUGAUGAGCACUACACUAGAUGGCAAGAGGUGGAAGCUGAUUGUGAAGAUGACCCAGAGGGCUUGGCACUCCGUCUUGCUGCCAAAGGAGCUGUUUCCGCUGCUUUGGAGGUUGCUGAAAGUGCCUCUUUAUCAAUUGAUUUGCGGAGGGAGUUGCAAGGCCGUCAGCUUGUCAAACUGCUAAUCACUGAUCCACUUAAUGGCGGAGGCCCAGCUGCAGCUUCAAGAUUUCUGUCAACUUUAAGGGAUUCCAAUGAUGCUCUUCCUGUAGCCAUUGGUGCUAUGAAUUUAUUACCUGACCUGCGUUCAAAGCAGCUUCUUGUGCAUUUCUUCCUCAAGCGUACAGUUGGGAAUCUAUCAGAUGCUGAGAUUGCACGGCUUAAUUUGUGGGCAUUAGGUCUCCGUGUUCUUUCCUUAUUGCCAUUGCCAUCACAACAGCGUUGUUCUUCUCUGCACGAACACCCUCAGUUGAUCGUAGAAGUACUGUUGAUGAUGAAACAACUCCAGUCUGCUUCUUUGAUUUUGAAAGAAUUUUCUUCCUUGAGGGAUGAUAAGUUAAUUAUUGCGUAUGCUAAAAAAGCAAUCUCAAUUAACGUUAGCUCAGCUCCUAGGGAACGUCGAUCGAAUAUCUCUGCAUCAAGGGCAAAACAAAAAAAGGCUACAACUCCAGCUAAAACAAAUUUUGUGCAAAGUUUUGGUAACUUUCAGAGAGAAGCACGCAAAGCAUUCUCAUGGGUCCCCCGUGAUAGUGGCACUAAAACACCCCCAAAAGAUAUCCUUCGGAAAAGAAAGAGUUCAGGCUCUGGAGGUGAUAGAUCCUCUUGGGAAGCAAUGCCUGGUUUACAGGAGGAGCGGACACCUGUAUAUCCUUCUGAGGCGCAAGAAAGACUUCCUUUUGUCUCUGCUCCUGAUGAGUGGGUGCUGACGGGAGAUCCUGACAAGGAUGAUGCAACUCGUUCAUCCCAUAAAUAUGAAACCUCUCCUGAUAUCACACUGUUCAAGGCAUUGAUAUCCUUGUGCACCAAUGAGUCAGUAGCUGCAAAAGGUGCACUUGAAUUGUGUAUGACUCAGAUGAAGGUUGUGCUAAGCUCCCAACAGUUGCCUCUUGAUGCCUCUAUGGACAACAUAGCCCGGGCUUAUCAUGCAACGGAAACUUAUGUACAGGCACUCUCUUAUGCUAAGAAUCUAUUUAAAAAGCUCGUUGGUAGUAGUGAUUUGUCAAGUGGCUCUGAAAGAAGUAAGGAAGUUGAUGAUGUUUCUGUGGACACUGGCAGUUCAAGCACUGGGAGCCAGUAUCUGGAUGAGCUGUCUGAUUUCCUAACUCAAGCAGACAUGUGGUUAGGGCGUGCAGAGCUUCUUCAAAGCCUGCUGGGAUCAGGUAUUAUUGCCUCGCUGGAUGAUAUAGCUGACAAAGAAUCUUCAAGUAGACUACGUGACAGAUUGGUCAACGAUGAACGGUACAGCAUGGCUGUAUAUACUUGUAGAAAGUGCAAGAUUGAUGCUGUACCAGUAUGGGUUGCAUGGGGCCAUGCAUUAGUUCGAAUGGAGCACUAUGCUCAAGCUCGUGUGAAGUUCAAGCAAGCACUUCAACAAUACAAAGGCGAUGCAACUUCUGUUGUUACUGAAAUAAUCAACACAAUUGAAGGAGGGCCUCCAGUUGAUGUUUCUUCUGUCCGUUCCAUGUAUGAGCAUUUGGCAAAGAGUGCGGCGACCAUCUUUGAUGAUUCCCUUUCUGCUGAUGCUUAUCUGAAUGUUCUGUACAUGCCAUCGACAUUUCCACGAUCUGAGAGGUCCCGACAGUCCAGAGGUCAUGUAGACAGCCAAUUCAGGACUGCUAGUUCCUACCUUGAAGAUGGCCCUCGCAGCAAUCUUGAUAGUGUCCGAUAUGCUGAGUGUAUUCAUUACUUGCAAGAUUAUGCUCGGCCACAAAUGCUUGCUUUCAUGUUCAGGCAUGGCCAUUACACUGAAGCAUGCUCUCUGUUCUUCCCAUUCAGUCAACCAACCACGGAAGGGGAAACAUCUUUGUCUUCAGCUCCAUGGAGUGAUCCUUUAACAACUGAUUAUGGGACAAUUGAUGACUUGUGUGAUCUCUGUCUUGGAUAUGGUGCCAUGGCUGUUUUGGAGAAUACAAUACGGACAAUAACACAAUCGCCCACAUAUCAUGAGGCACACAUGAUUCAGUACAUGAACACUAUUAUCACCCGCAUUUGCAACUAUUGUGAAACACACAGGCAUUUUAAUUAUCUCUACAACUUCCUGGUUCUAAAAGAUGACCAUGUUGCUUCUGGCCUUUGUUGUAUUCAAUUAUUUAUGAAUUCAAUGUCUCAAGAGGAGGCUUUGAGGCAUUUGGGACAUGCCAAGGUUCCAAAAUGUGAUAUUUGUUUAGACUAUCACAACAAUGAAAAUUCGGACAUGACGAAUCAAGAAAAAUAACAUGGACCAUGGUUCGUUACAAAAAUAACUAUUUGGUUGUUUUGUCUUAUGUUUAGUUUCUUAUGAUUGCAGACACAUUUCGAAGAAGCCUUAUCUGUACGAGAUAGAACAAUCGAGGCUACUAAGUUGGUAUUGCGGUCUGCUCGGAAUAAGGGUGCACCUGGAAAAAUGACCAGGGAAACGAUAAUGAAAUAUUCCACUCGUGUUUCCUAUCAGAUGGAUGUGGUGAAGGCCCUCAAUAGUAUAGAUGGCUCUCAGUGGAAAACUUCCCUUUUUGGGAAUCCAACAGACCCUGAAACUCUGAGGCGAAGGUGCAUGGUUGUUGAAACUCUGGCUGAAAAGCAUUUUGAUUUAGCUUUCAGAAUGCUUCAUGAGUUUGAUCUCCCAGCUGUUGAUAUUUAUGCUGGGGUAGCUGCAUCCCUCGCAGAAAGGAAAAAAGGGGGCCAGUUGACAGAGUUCUUGAAGAAUAUAAGGGGGACUAUAGAUGAUGAUGAAUGGGAUCAGGUUAUUGGUGCUGCUAUAAAUGUUUAUGCCAACAAGCAUAAAGAAAGACCAGAUCGCCUUAUCGACAUGCUAAUCAGCAAUCACAGGAAAGUACUUGCUUGUGUUGUCUGUGGACGUCUAAAAAGUGCAUUCCAAAUAGCCGCACGAAGUGGAAGUGUCGCUGAUGUUCAAUAUGUUGCCCAUCAGGCAUUACAUGCAAAUGCAUUGACAGUGCUUGAUAUGUGUAAGCAAUGGCUCGCGCAGUACAUGUGAUACCAUAGAUACUUGCUGAGAGAGUUCUCACGUGAAGACAGAAAAACUAAGGGGCAUUUGGUUUGAAGAGUCAAUCUAUUUUAGAUGAUGUUGUGUAUCAUAAGUUUAUUUUAUAAAUUUGGUGGAAUAAAUUCGUUCUCCAUAUUAUUACUAAUUAUGAGCUUAUGAUGAAUGAAAUGCUGAUGAAUCAA